ACCGAGCGACGCCGCGUGUGGGAUGAAGGCCCUCGGGUUGUAAACCACUGGUCGUAGGGGAGGAAGGCUCCGUGAAGAGCGGAGUUUGACCUAUCCUAGGAGGAAGGCCGGGCUAAGUUCGUGCCAGCAGCCGCGGUAAGACGAACCGGCCAAACGUUAUUCGGAAUUAUUGGGCUUAAAGGGUGCGUAGGCGGUGCGGUCAGUCGGGUGUGAAAUCCCUCGGCUCAACCGAGGAAUUGCGCCCGAUACUACCGUGCUUGAGGGAGACAGAGGUGAGCGGAACUGAUGGUGGAGCGGUGAAAUGCGUUGAUAUCAUCAGGAACACCAGUGGCGAAAGCGGCUCGCUGGGUCUCUUCUGACGCUGAGGCACGAAAGCUAGGGUAGCGAACGGGAUUAGAUACCCCGGUAGUCCUAGCCGUAAACGAUGAGCACUUGACUGAGGAUCCCCCCAUAGGUUCUUGGUCGAAGCGAAAGUGAUAAGUGCUCCGCCUGGGGAGUAUGGUCGCAAGGCUG
rnacentral:rRNA from 1 species